rnacentral:rRNA from 1 species
CUCCUACGGGAGGCAGCAGUGGGGAAUUUUGGACAAUGGGCGAAAGCCUGAUCCAGCAAUGCCGCGUGUGUGAAGAAGGCCUUCGGGUUGUAAAGCACUUUUGUCCGGAAAGAAAUGGCUCUGGUUAAUACCUGGGGUCGAUGACGGUACCGGAAGAAUAAGGACCGGCUAACUACGUGCCAGCAGCCGCGGUAAUACGUAGGGUCCAAGCGUUAAUCGGAAUUACUGGGCGUAAAGCGUGCGCAGGCGGUUGUGCAAGACCGAUGUGAAAUCCCCGAGCUUAACUUGGGAAUUGCAUUGGUGACUGCACGGCUAGAGUGUGUCAGAGGGGGGUAGAAUUCCACGUGUAGCAGUGAAAUGCGUAGAGAUGUGGAGGAAUACCGAUGGCGAAGGCAGCCCCCUGGGAUAACACUGACGCUCAUGCACGAAAGCGUGGGGAGCAAACAGGAUUAGAUACCCUGGGUAGUCCACGCCCUAAACGAUGUCAACUAGUUGUUGGGGAUUCAUUUCCCUUAGUAACGUAGCUAACGCGUGAAGUUGACCGCCUGGGGAGUACGGUCGCAAGAUUAAAACUCAAAGGAAUUGAC